rnacentral:rRNA from 1 species
CCUACGGGAGGCAGCAGUGAGGAAUAUUGGUCAAUGGACGAGAGUCUGAACCAGCCAAGUAGCGUGAAGGAUGACUGCCCUAUGGGUUGUAAACUUCUUUUAUAAAGGAAUAAAACGAGGCACGUGUGCCUUUUUGCAUGUACUUUAUGAAUAAGGAUCGGCUAACUCCGUGCCAGCAGCCGCGGUAAUACGGAGGAUCCGAGCGUUAUCCGGAUUUAUUGGGUUUAAAGGGAGCGUAGAUGGGUUGUUAAGUCAGUUGUGAAAGUUUGCGGCUCAACCGUAAAAUUGCAAUUGAUACUGGCAGUCUAGAGUACAGUAGAGGUAGGCGGAAUUCGAGGUGUAGCGGUGAAAUGCGUAGAUAUCACGAAGAACCCCGAUUGCGAAGGCAGCUUACUAAACUGUGACUGACAUUGAUGCUCGAAAGUGUGGGUAUCAAACAGGAUUAGAUACCCGAGUAGUC